rnacentral:rRNA from 1 species
UACGGAGGGUGCAAGCGUUAUCCGGAUUUACUGGGUUUAAAGGGUGCGUAGGCGGCUUUUUAAGUCAGUGGUGAAAGCCUAGUGCUUAACACUAGAAUGGCCAUUGAUACUGGAAAGCUUGAGUCAAGGAGAGGUAAGCAGAAUUUAUAGUGUAGCAGUGAAAUGCUUAGAUACUAUAAGGAAUACCAAUAGCGAAGGCAGCUUACUGGCCUUGCACUGACGCUGAGGCACGAAAGCGUGGGGAGCAAACAGG